AACUAACGAGGAUUCCCUUAGUAACGGCGAGUGAACAGGGAAAAGCCCAUCGCUGAAUCCCAUAAUCAUUGAUUAUCGGGAACUGUAGCGUAUAGGUGUAACUAUUCGGUGAUUUUUGCUUACCCAAAGUUCCCUUGAGUGGGGCUAUAGUCCAUAGAGGGUGCUAGGCCUGUACGGGUAGCAAAAUUAUCGAUAUCGGUUGCUCCUUGGAGUCGAGUUGCCUGGGAACGCAGCUCAAAGUAGGUGGUAAACCUCAUCUAAGGCUAAAUAUGACUACGAGACCGAUAGCGAACAAGUACCGUGAGGGAAAGUUGCAAAGAACUUUGAAGAGAGAGUUCAAGAGGGCGUGAAACCGCUGAGAAGGAAGCGGAUAGAGUUGACGAAACACAGUGGCAUUCAUCCGAUCAGUGGUACAACCAAUAUAUCACUUGUACUGUCUUGUGCUUGAGAUAGCAAUGAUAUGUUUGGUUGGGCGAUUCACCACUUGGUUGGUGCUUUUGCCAUUGGUAUGCGCUAAGAGGUUCGCUAUGAUGCGUCAAAAUCAAUUUAAAGAGGACUAAACUUGACGUUUACGUUUAGAAACCUUUAAUGAUCGAGGCGUAUUCGUGGUGAAUCGCUGUUUCGCGGUUACAUCGUUGGCUAGUUUGUGCAGCCGGUUGUUAUGUGCGUGCUAUGGUUGCAUUGGUUGUUGGGCGGUCGCAUGCGACUUGUCUACAGCUGAGUGUAACCCAUUGACAGCUAGGUUGCAUUAACGAUGUAUCUUAGUGUAAAAGUCGACCACCUAUCCGACCCG
rnacentral:rRNA from 1 species